GGGCAGCGAAGCCGCGAGGCUAAGCCAAUCCCACAAAUCUGUUCUCAGUUCGGAUCGCAGUCUGCAACUCGACUGCGUGAAGCUGGAAUCGCUAGUAAUCGCGGAUCAGCAUGCCGCGGUGAAUACGUUCCCGGGCCUUGUACACACCGCCCGUCACACCACGAGAGUUUGUAACACCCGAAGUCGGUGAGGUAACCUUUUGGAGCCAGCCGCCGAAGGUGGGACAGAUGAUUGGGGUGAAGUCGUAACAAGGUAGCCGUAUCGGAAGGUGCGGUUG
rnacentral:rRNA from 1 species